GAUUGCCUGAUUUAGUAACCACGGUUAAAAUAUUCGUGGUGAACAGUGAAUACUUUACCGGGUGCAUAACCGAUGUUUAGGAAUUCAUCGGCUGAUUAUUCAAACAUUGGUUAAAUGAUAGUCGGUGAACUCCGCCCUAAACCUGUAAUCAAGUUUUAA